rnacentral:rRNA from 1 species
AACGAACGCUGGCGGCAUGCCUAACACAUGCAAGUCGAACGAAACCUCCGGGUCUUUUGGCGCACGGGUGCGUCACGCGUCGGAACCUUCCCUUAGGGUUGGAAUAACUCCCCGAAAGGGGUGCCAAUACCGGACAAUGUCUUCUGACCAAUGAUUUAUCGCCCUUGGUUGGGCCCGAGUUGGAUUCGCUAGUUGGUAGGGUAAUAGCCUACUAAGGCGACGAUCCAUAGCUGGUCUGAGAGGAUGAUCAGCGACACUGAGACUAAGACACGGCCGGGACUCCUACGGGAGGCAGCAGUGGGGAAUAGUGGACAGUCGCCGGAGGCCUGAACGAGCAAUGCCGCGUAAGUUAUGUAGGCCGGAAGGUUGAAAUGCUCUUUUAACCGGGAUGAUAAUGACAGUACCGGAAGAAUAAGCUACGGCUAACUCCGUG